UACAGAGGGGGGCAAGCGUUGUCCGGAUUUACUGGGCGUACAGCGCGCGCAGGCGGCCUCGUAUGUGACCGGUGACAUCCUCGGGCUCAACCCGAGGCGGCCCGGUUAGACAGCGGAGCUGGAGGCAGGGAGAGGGAUGUGGAAUACCCGGUGGAGCGGUGAAAUGCGUAGAGAUCGGGAGGAACACCAAUGGCGAAGGCAGCUCGCUGGGACGUUACUGACGCUGAGACGCGAAAGCGUGGGGAGCAAACAGG
rnacentral:rRNA from 1 species